AGAGUUUGAUCAUGGCUCAGAUUGAACGCUGGCGGCAGGCCUAACACAUGCAAGUCGAGCGGUAGCACAGAGAGCUUGCUCUCGGGUGACGAGCGGCGGACGGGUGAGUAAUGUCUGGGAAACUGCCUGAUGGAGGGGGAUAACUACUGGAAACGGUAGCUAAUACCGCAUAACGUCGCAAGACCAAAGUGGGGGACCUUCGGGCCUCAUGCCAUCAGAUGUGCCCAGAUGGGAUUAGCUAGUAGGUGGGGUAACGGCUCACCUAGGCGACGAUCCCUAGCUGGUCUGAGAGGAUGACCAGCCACACUGGAACUGAGACACGGUCCAGACUCCUACGGGAGGCAGCAGUGGGGAAUAUUGCACAAUGGGCGCAAGCCUGAUGCAGCCAUGCCGCGUGUGUGAAGAAGGCCUUCGGGUUGUAAAGCACUUUCAGCGGGGAGGAAGGCGUUAAGGUUAAUAACCUUGGCGAUUGACGUUACCCGCAGAAGAAGCACCGGCUAACUCCGUGCCAGCAGCCGCGGUAAUACGGAGGGUGCAAGCGUUAAUCGGAAUUACUGGGCGUAAAGCGCACGCAGGCGGUCUGUCAAGUCGGAUGUGAAAUCCCCGGGCUCAACCUGGGAACUGCAUUCGAAACUGGCAGGCUAGAGUCUUGUAGAGGGGGGUAGAAUUCCAGGUGUAGCGGUGAAAUGCGUAGAGAUCUGGAGGAAUACCGGUGGCGAAGGCGGCCCCCUGGACAAAGACUGACGCUCAGGUGCGAAAGCGUGGGGAGCAAACAGGAUUAGAUACCCUGGUAGUCCACGCCGUAAACGAUGUCGAUUUGGAGGUUGUGCCCUUGAGGCGUGGCUUCCGGAGCUAACGCGUUAAAUCGACCGCCUGGGGAGUACGGCCGCAAGGUUAAAACUCAAAUGAAUUGACGGGGGCCCGCACAAGCGGUGGAGCAUGUGGUUUAAUUCGAUGCAACGCGAAGAACCUUACCUGGUCUUGACAUCCACAGAACUUAGCAGAGAUGCUUUGGUGCCUUCGGGAACUGUGAGACAGGUGCUGCAUGGCUGUCGUCAGCUCGUGUUGUGAAAUGUUGGGUUAAGUCCCGCAACGAGCGCAACCCUUAUCCUUUGUUGCCAGCGGUUAGGCCGGGAACUCAAAGGAGACUGCCAGUGAUAAACUGGAGGAAGGUGGGGAUGACGUCAAGUCAUCAUGGCCCUUACGACCAGGGCUACACACGUGCUACAAUGGCAUAUACAAAGAGAAGCGACCUCGCGAGAGCAAGCGGACCUCAUAAAGUAUGUCGUAGUCCGGAUUGGAGUCUGCAACUCGACUCCAUGAAGUCGGAAUCGCUAGUAAUCGUAGAUCAGAAUGCUACGGUGAAUACGUUCCCGGGCCUUGUACACACCGCCCGUCACACCAUGGGAGUGGGUUGCAAAAGAAGUAGGUAGCUUAACCUUCGGGAGGGCGCUUACCACUUUGUGAUUCAUGACUGGGGUGAAGUCGUAACAAGGUAACCGUAGGGGAACCUGCGGUUG
rnacentral:rRNA from 1 species